rnacentral:misc_RNA from 1 species
GGGCCGAGAACAUCUCCUUAAUCUCUACCAUCUUCAAGAUCAAGGCGUCGCCGUUGUCGCCAUAGCUGAUCCUCACGCUUCUUCACAGCGCCAAGCCCUUGAUUUAGCUCAGUCACUCGGCUGGCAAAUGAAGGUUUUCUCAGGGCACCAGGAGCUUUUGGACAGUGGACUUUGUGAUGUAUUGGUUGUUUCAACUCCAAAUAUGACUCACUAUCAAAUUCUCAUGGAUAUCAUCAAUCAUCC